rnacentral:rRNA from 1 species
AUUGAACGCUGGCGGCAGGCCUAACACAUGCAAGUCGAGCGAGCGGCGGACGGGUGUGUAAUGUAUGGGGUUCUGCCCGACAGCGGGGGAUAACUACUGGAAACGGUGGCUAAUACCGCAUACUAUCGGAGGAACCCAUAUGGGAUUAGCGAGUAGGUGGGGUAAAGGCUCAUCUAGGCGACGAUCUCUAGCUGGUCUGAGAGGAUGAUCAGCCACACUGGGACGGAGACACGGCCCAGACUCGUCCGGGAGUCAGCAGUGGGUAAUAUUGCACAAUUGGCGCAAGCCUGAUGCAGCCAUGCCGCGUGUAUGAAGAAUGCCUUAGGGUUGUAAAGUACUUUCAGCGGGGAGGCGUUACCCGCAGAAGAAGCACCGGCUAACUCCGUGCCAGCAGCCGGGGUAAUAC